rnacentral:lncRNA from 1 species
UUUUUUAUUUCAUGAUUUUUUUUUCACUAAAAUAAAGCAUUAAAUAAAUUUGUUUUAAAGUAAAAGAUGUUAACUAAACAUAUUUUUACUAAUAUUUAGUCAAACAAUUCUCUCAACUCAGAAGGUAAUUGUAAGAAACUAAUUUUAGACACUUCCACCAAUUCAAUCUGAUUAUGAUGAUUUUGAUGCUUAAAGGUCAACUUCUAUCUCCCCCUACCAAAAAAAAAAAAAAAAAAGAAGCAAAUUCCGAAGUCCCAAGCCGAAACAUGAUAGAGUAAAAGAUGAAAUAUAUCCAUCCUCAUAUAACACAUUAUUAUAAUGCGAUUAUAUAUAAAUGAAAAGAAAACCUAAGAAACGCUUGAAAGCACAAAAGAAGCAGACUAAGGGUCGAGCCUC